CAGGACGAACGCUGGCGGCGUGCUUAACACAUGCAAGUCGAACGAUGAAGCCUUUCGGGGUGGAUUAGUGGCGAACGGGUGAGUAACACGUGGGCAAUCUGCCCUUCACUCUGGGACAAGCCCUGGAAACGGGGUCUAAUACCGGAUAACACUCUGUUCCGCAUGGGACGGGGUUAAAAGCUCCGGCGGUGAAGGAUGAGCCCGCGGCCUAUCAGCUUGUUGGUGGGGUAAUGGCCUACCAAGGCGACGACGGGUAGCCGGCCUGAGAGGGCGACCGGCCACACUGGGACUGAGACACGGCCCAGACUCCUACGGGAGGCAGCAGUGGGGAAUAUUGCACAAUGGGCGAAAGCCUGAUGCAGCGACGCCGCGUGAGGGAUGACGGCCUUCGGGUUGUAAACCUCUUUCAGCAGGGAAGAAGCGAAAGUGACGGUACCUGCAGAAGAAGCGCCGGCUAACUACGUGCCAGCAGCCGCGGUAAUACGUAGGGCGCAAGCGUUGUCCGGAAUUAUUGGGCGUAAAGAGCUCGUAGGCGGCUUGUCACGUCGGAUGUGAAAGCCCGGGGCUUAACCCCGGGUCUGCAUUCGAUACGGGCUAGCUAGAGUGUGGUAGGGGAGAUCGGAAUUCCUGGUGUAGCGGUGAAAUGCGCAGAUAUCAGGAGGAACACCGGUGGCGAAGGCGGAUCUCUGGGCCAUUACUGACGCUGAGGAGCGAAAGCGUGGGGAGCGAACAGGAUUAGAUACCCUGGUAGUCCACGCCGUAAACGUUGGGAA
rnacentral:rRNA from 1 species